rnacentral:rRNA from 1 species
UACGAAGGGGGCUAGCGUUACUCGGAUUGACUGGGCGUAAAGGGCGCGUAGGCGGUUUGUACAGUCAGACGUGAAAUUCCUGGGCUCAACCUGGGGGCUGCGUUUGAUACGUGCGGACUUGAGUUCGGAAGAGGGUCGUGGAAUUCCCAGUGUAGAGGUGAAAUUCGUAGAUAUUGGGAAGAACACCGGUGGCGAAGGCGGCGACCUGGUCCGAUACCGACGCUGAGGCGCGAAAGCGUGGGGAGCAAACAGG